AGGCAGUACAGCUCUUGCCUUGAUCUCUUGGAUCACUCUUUCUGGGGAAGCUGGCCAGCACUCUGUGAGGACACUCAAGCCUCUCUGUAGAAAGAUCCACAUGAGGAAUACCUGAGGCCUCCUGCCAAAAACCAGCACCAACUUGCCAGCCUUUGCUUUGCAUUCCCUUCUCUGCACCUCCGUGGCAACCUCUGUCAUGAUGUGAAAAGAGCCAGCUUUCAAUCCCAACUGGACCACCAACCAGCUGUGAAAACCUGUGCACUUCAACUGCUAUGAACCUCAGUCUCAUUCUCUCUCCCUGCAUCAUGGAGUUGCUGUGAGGAAGAGUGAUAACGAACAUGGAGGACCAGCUUAGUAUCCAGCACAAAGUUCCUUGGUAAACAGGAGCCUCUGUAGCCUGGCCACCCUGUCUUAUGAUCACUGAUUCACAUGUCCUUCAUUCAACCUCCUGGAAGGCAGCAUCUGUGUCAUCUCUGCCUGUACCUCCAGCCCCUAGCCCAGGGCUUAAUGGCACAUAGGCACUCCAUUAACUCAUUACUCAGACAUUACUGAGGUGGAGAAAUAGAUACUGUGGUUACAGAGUGGCUCCGACAAGAUUUAGACUCUCAAGGAAGUUACAUUUGAUCUAAUCAUGAGAAAAAUGUCAGAUAAACUCCUGUCAAGAGGCAUCCUACAGUACAUCUGAUCAAUACUGUUGAAAACUGUCAGGGUCAUCAAAAACAAGGAAAGUCUGAGACUGUCGCAGCCGAGAGGAGCCCAAGGAGACAUGAUGACUAAAUGCAAUGUGGUAUCCUGGAUGGGAUCCUAGAACAGAAAAAGGACAUUAGGUAAAAACUAAGGAAAUCUGAAGAAAGCAUGGACUUCAGCUAACAUUAAUGUAUCAAUAUUGGUUCAUUAACUGUAACAAACAUGCCACAGUAGGGUAAGAUGUUAGCCAUACAGGAAAAUGGGUACCGGGUAUAUGGGAACCCUCUGUACUAGCUUCUCCAUUUUUCUGUAAGUCUAAAACUUUUCUGAAAAAUAAAGCCUAUUUAAAAAAAAAUCAAAGUG